rfam:Hordeum vulgare subsp. vulgare, WGS project CAJW01000000 data, contig: morex_contig_57479
AUCAUACUCCCUCUGUCCCNNNNNUCUUGUCUUAGAUUUGUUUAGAUAUUAAUGUAUCUAGUCAAGUUUUAGUAUUUAGAUACAUUCAUUUCUAGACAAAGUUAAGACAAGAAUUUUGGGACAGAGGGAGUAGUUA